CUUGAUCUUGAGGGAAGAAAAUAAUUUGUUCUAUCACUACAGAUGCAAGAAAAAAAGAGUCCUUGUACUUUCUGUCUGUCUGAUUGUGGCAGCCAAGAUUGAGUAGAGGAAUACAGGG
rnacentral:snoRNA from 1 species